AGUGAACGCUGGCGGUAGGCCUAACACUUGCAAGUCGAACGGCAGCACAGUAAGAGCUUGCUCUUACGGGUGGCGAGUGGCGGACGGGUGAGGAAUACAUCGGAAUCUACUUUUUCGUGGGGGAUAACGUAGGGAAACUUACGCUAAUACCGCAUACGACCUACGGGUGAAAGCAGGGGAUCUUCGGACCUUGCGCGAUUGAAUGAGCCGAUGUCGGAUUAGCUAGUUGGCGGGGUAAAGGCCCACCAAGGCGACGAUCCGUAGCUGGUCUGAGAGGAUGAUCAGCCACACUGGAACUGAGACACGGUCCAGACUCCUACGGGAGGCAGCAGUGGGGAAUAUUGGACAAUGGGCGCAAGCCUGAUCCAGCCAUACCGCGUGGGUGAAGAAGGCCUUCGGGUUGUAAAGCCCUUUUGUUGGGAAAGAAAAGCAGCAGGUUAAUACCCCGCUGUUCUGACGGUACUCAAAGAAUAAGCACCGGCUAACUUCGUG
rnacentral:rRNA from 1 species